GAAAAGACUAUGAAAAGAAGGAGUAAAGGUAUUGAUACUUAACAGAGAGUUACCGGUUGGUGAGAGGUGCAAAGAUAAAUACUUUGAAUACAUCUUAGAGUCAUUCACCGAAAGCUAUUUAGUAGUUAGUAGGCUGAUAUCGGAAGUUCCCGUUAAAAGAACAAAGAUGUUAAGAUGCAUCUUUUAAGGUCUUACAUAAUUUAUGUGAGAUAAAUUGAGGUGGUACCACGUGAUUAAUCUCUCGUCCUCUGA
rnacentral:ncRNA from 1 species